rnacentral:rRNA from 1 species
AUGCAAGUCGAACGGAGUAUUUUUUGAGUGCUUGCACUCUGGGAUACUUAGUGGCGGACGGGUGAGUAACACGUGAGCAACCUGCCUGAAAGAGGGGGAUAACGUCUGGAAACGGACGCUAAUACCGCAUAAUAUACCGAGUCGGCAUCGAUUUGGUAUCAAAGGAGCAAUCCGCUUUGAGAUGGGCUCGCGCCCGAUUAGAUAGUUGGUGAGGUAAUGGCUCACCAAGUCGACGAUCGGUAGCCGGACUGAGAGGUUGAUCGGCCACAUUGGGACUGAGACACGGCCCAAACUCCUACGGGAGGCAGCAGUGGGGGAUAUUGCACAAUGGGGGAAACCCUGAUGCAGCGACGCCGCGUGGGUGAAGACGGUCUUCGGAUUGUAAAGCCCUGUUGCAGAGGACGAUAAUGACGGUACUCUGUGAGGAAGCCACGGCUAACUACGUGCCAGCAGCCGCGGUAAUACGUAGGUGGCAAGCGUUGUCCGGAAUUACUGGGUGUAAAGGGAGCGUAGGCGGGGAUUCAAGUUGGAUGUGAAAUACCGCAGCUUAACUGCGGGGCUGCAUCCAAAACUGGAUUUCUUGAGUGGAGUAGAGGUAGGCGGAAUUCCUAGUGUAGCGGUGAAAUGCGUAGAUAUUAGGAGGAACACCAGUGGCGAAGGCGGCCUACUGGGCUUUAACUGACGCUGAGGCUCGAAAGCGUGGGGAGCAAACAGGAUUAGAUACCCUGGUAGUCCACGCUGUAAACGAUGAUUACUA